GGAGAGGUGGCUGAGUGGUUAAAAAGCAUCCUCCUGCUAAGAGGAAACGGGCAGUUAAUGCACGUCGCAGGUUCAAAUCCUGUCCUCUCCG
rnacentral:tRNA from 2 species